rnacentral:misc_RNA from 1 species
GCGGAAGGAUCAUUACACUCAGCAGUUUACUGCUGUAUGACGGGGCUGUAAGCCUGCCUUGCGUAGCAAGCCUCUGUCUGAACCCCCUGACUUUUUGCGCACUUGUGUUUCCUUGGUGGACUUGUCUGCCAGUAUAGGACUAUUGUAUAACCUUUUUAUAAUCUUUACUCAGCGUCUGAAUAACCAUAAUAAUUACAACUUUCAACAACGGAUCUCUUGGUUCUGGCAUCGAUGAAGAACGCAGCGAAAUGCGAUAAGUAGUGUGAAUUGCAGAAUUCAGUGAAUCAUCGAAUCUUUGAACGCACAUUGCGCCCCUUGGUAUUCCAUGGGGCAUGCCUGUUCGAGCGUCAUUUGUACACUCAAGCUUUGCUUGGUGUUGGGUGCUUGUCCUUUUUGGACUCACCUUAAAAGUAUUGGCAGCCAGUGUAUGGUCUUGAAGCGCAGCACAAAUUGCGGUUCUCACCUUUAUCACUAGCAUCCAUCAAGGCUAUAUUAGCUCGCUUGACCUCGGAUCAGGUAGGGAUACCCGCUGAACUUAAGCA